rnacentral:tRNA from 1 species
GGAGAGGUGGCUGAGUGGCUCAAAGCAACGGUUUGCUAAAUCGUCGUAAGGGGUAACCUUUACCGAGGGUUCGAAUCCCUCCCUCUCCA